UUGAAAGGGAAACGAUUGAAGUCAGUCGUACUGGCGGGCAAUCAGCCUUUUGGGUAUGAUUAUGUGGGGCUUGAGGAGUUAAUCACCUUUAUCUUUGCAUAUUUGUGCACUUUGGGUGUACUUGCUCGUUUGGUAGGUUAACAUCAAUUUUAGUCAUCAUAAAAUGGCUGGAGGAAUGUAGCUUCGAUCUCGUAUUGAAGUGUUAUAGCCUUUGGUAGACGUGAUGAUUGGGAUUGAGGAUUGCAACGGAUACCCUUCGGGCUACCUGUCUGAUCUCUGGAAGUUGCUCUGGUGCUGAAAGCUUGCUUAUGGUAUCAAAGUUGACGUCUAAUAGGUUAGAAUGGGAUAAAUUCGUUAAGGAUGUUGACGUA
rnacentral:rRNA from 1 species